AGGAAAUGAACUGCACGUCAGCUGUGCAGGCAGGGAGAAAGGAGGUGGAAGAGGCAAGGGAGCAAGAAAGGAAGGAGGGAAGCAAAAUAAACCCACUCCUGUGUAGAGCGUUGGAAAUGUGGCACUAACAAAGACUUCCUGUUCCACAUAGAAUCAGCGCUGGCAGAGGCGGCAUGCAGGGCUGUGGGUGUACUCAGCUGUGCAGAGCUGAUUAUAGAAGAUGAAAGGGCUUGGCAAUUUAUUUCAUCUCACACUGAAGCACUGCUGACAACUGAAAGUGAGGACAGAAGGAUUCAUUUGUUCAACUUCUGUUUUAAAAAACAGACUUCAAAUGAUACCACAGAGAAAAAGGAGGAAACGCUGCAGUGUAAUAAAAUGUCUAUUUUUAAAAAACACACUAGCUGCAGCAUUUUUAUUUCAUAGGUGGGUUUGAAGGCAAAGGGGUUGGCUUUUUUGUGGUUGUUAUCAAUUCCAGGGAAUGUGACAUGCACGCAGGAUCAAUUACUAAUCAAAUAGACCACGUUCACCUAAUCUGACCAAAGCUC
rnacentral:lncRNA from 1 species